GAGGGUAUAGCUCAAGUGGUAGAGUGCAUGCUUAGCAUGCAUGAGGUCCUGGGUUCAAUCCCCAGCACUUCCA
rnacentral:tRNA from 1 species